rnacentral:lncRNA from 1 species
UGAGGCAGCAGGCAGCGAUCAAGGGGCCUCAGCUCACUGGGGAAGCUAGCCGGAUGAACACAACCAUUGAGUAAGUAGAGGAGCAAAUCCCUCCUGGACUCCUGAUUCAGUUUUUCAAAACUGAGUUCAAGUACAAAUGGGGGUUGGCUGGGGAAGAGAAAGGAAGAACUUUGGGGGAAGAGCUUAUAGAUAAGAGGCAGAGAUGCAGGAUGAGGCACCAAUACGAGCUAACUUCCGUGAGGUUGUGUAGAUGGCAAAGAAACCAAAGGCUUGUUGCUCGGAGGAAAUAAUGGCAGAAGGAGUCAUUUUGAUUGAAGCUCCUGGGGAAUUGGAUUGGAACUCGCAGUUCCCUGCUUUCCUCAGAUCCAGCAUGGUGGUCAAAUGCUUGUGGCUACUGAGAUCCACAUGACUGAGGCCAUCCUUCCUGGGCCUGAGCUUGUCUCUGGGAAGCACUGAAGCUCAUCCAAAUGCAGAUGUAUUUGAAUUGCUCCAGACGGCAAGAGGCUCAUCCAGUAGAGCUCAGUGUUAGGAGGUGGGAACUGAUGGGAACCCCCUGGGACACAAGGCUAAGAGGCAAAGGGUGGCCUCCUUAUCUGGUUAAGUGCUUGACACAGCACCUGGCACAUGGUAAGAGCUAAAAUUCUAUUGUUCUAGUUACAUUCACCUUUACAGAUGGGUGUUAACUAUUUAUCUUCUCCCUCCAACCCCAGAUUGUGUCUCUAAUUAUUUUGAGGUGACUAUGGAUUACAAACGUCUUUACUUUGUUGUUGUUGUUGUUGUUGUUGUUGUUAUUUUUAUAAAGAGAGAGAAUGUGUGAGCAGGGGAAAGGACAGAUGGAGAGAGAGAGAAUCUUUUUUUUUUUUUUUUUCUUUUUAACAUUUGGCCAUUUUUGAGAGAUAGAGUGCAGGUGGGGAUGGGACAGAGAGAGAGGGAGACACGGGAUCCAAAGCAGGCUCCACACUCUGAGCUGUCAGCACAGAGCCCUUCGUGGGGCUAGAACUCCCAAACCGCGAGAUCAUGACCUGAGCUGAAGUUGGACGCUCAACCAACUGAGCCAGCCAGGCGCCCUGAGAGAGAGAGAAUCUUAAGCGGGCUCCAUGUUGGCAUGGAGCCUGAUGUGGGGCUUGAUAGCACAACCCUGGAAUCAUGAUGCGAAUGGAAAUCAAGAGUGGGACGCUCGACUGACUGAGCCACCCAGACACCCCACAAAUGGCUUUAAAAUAGGCCUUGUCUUUUAAUGCCCCUCAAAAGUCCUCUUUGCCCGUUCCUGUCCGUACGUGAGUUUUAGACUCAGAGCCAAUCCCCUUCAGACAGUCAACAGUGAUGAUUCACUCUAACAUUUGCCUACAUAAUUUGCCCAUACCUGACAGACCAAAAUACUGACUCAACAAAACAGGAACCGCAUGCUAACACAUUUGGCCAGGAAAAAGCCACCUUCCUUUCAUUUCCUGAUCUUCAAUCGUAGAAUGUCUCAUGUACGUUGAAUGUGUUGUGUGGCCUGCCCCAGAAGCCACUGUAUCUUGUGGGGGACACUCUGACCUUCAGGUGAGCCUAUUGUUGACCUAGCCUUGACUGCUGACCUGGACAACGCCAACUCCACUUGAGGUUAUAGCUUAUUGCUCAUAGUGGCCACAGAGGCAACGGCAGCACGGUGACAACAAGCUUUGCAUUUAGAAGGGAUCACAUCCUGGAAUGAUGUAAUGCUUCUGGAUGCAUGGUGGUUGGGUCACAUGAAGUCUGACAUCAUCCGGAGGUGGGAGCUUCCCAGAAUGCUGCCACUGGCAACUUUGCUGGGCAGAUUGGCUCCUAGCUCUUUCAGGAGACAGAAAAGCAAACAAAUCAGAGCAAAACAAAAGGUAUGUGCCAGCUUCAAAAAUCUGAGCAGUCAAAUCAUAAGGGAAAAGAAAGGGAGUUGUAACACUUACUCCAGAGACUCUAAACCCUUACCUCUCAGCAUUCAGACACAUUUAUAAUCAAAGGACCUAGGGAGGCUUAUCUGGUUCAACCAUCUGCCUCUAAGGAAGAUUAUAUCUAAAACUUCAAAGCAUGUGAAACUCUCCAGGAGAAUGAUGGCGUAUAACCUGCUUUGGUAAGUGGCUCCAGAGUGUCACUACCUUUAGAGCAGUGGCUCUUAGUCGGACUAGCUAAAUGUCUAGGGGGAGGGUUUGGACAUGUCGCUCCAGCAGAAAUUCUUAUGCAUUCUAAGUGGGUAGAGAGACAGAAUCUCGGGGAGAGGAAUGUGGGGGUCAGCAAAUAAAGCUUCUACAAACUCCCUGGAUGGACUAAAUAUAAUAUUUUAAAAAUACACAGCUUUGCCUUUAUUAAUCAUGGUGAUAUUUUUUAUUAUAAAGUUUCAAAUAUAGAGAAAAAUUACAGAAUACUAAAAUACCCAUAUAUACCUUUCACUUAAGUUCGCCAAUUAAUAACAUUUUCCAUAUUUGUUUUUUUUCUUUUUUUUUUCAUACACACACAGAGUACAUAGAGAAAAAUCAAGUGCCUUCUCUCUCUCUCUCUCUCUCUUUCAUGUGUAUCUAAUUUUUUGAAGAGUUCUGAUAAACUGUCCAAAUUAUUCAGGGCAAAUGUCACUGCUUCUUAAUCCCCUCCCCGCUGUUGAGAAUUUUUUUUUUUUUUUUAAUGCAGGCAUUUGUUCCCGUGUUUGGUUCUCUCGUGCCUGAAGACAAGCGAUGCACUUUUACUCCUGCGGUACAAAAAGAAAAUGGCUAUCACGACCACAAACAUACUUUCUGCCUCUUGAUUUUCACCAGAGAGGAAAGGGAAACACUGAGCAUGUAACUGGUCCUGGCCAUUGUUGGCCAGGAUUCAAAGACUUUCAGUUUCCACCUUUUUGUACCAACGAGCAGAGGUUGCUUUUGUGACACAGAUCUCCUGUUCUGUCUUCUAUUCAGCAGAUGUUCCACAAGGACCUUCACAGGCAGAGUGCCUCACUGCUCAGCUCUGAAACCUUCUGUUCCUCCUCUGCCAUCUGACUCCCUCAACGUGUGGAGUUUUUCAUAUAAAAAGAUACGCUGCAAAAGUAUCUUCUUGCUGGACGCCAACUUAAGUUUCCACCCAGUCACCCCGCUAGUCCCCACUGGGUCCUCAAACAUCAACACGCUCCAAAUAUAUGGGGUGCGUUUCAACUAAAAUUAACACCUCACAUCAGCAAUGGUUCGUUGGGCAACUCUCUGUGGAUCAGGAUCGAGUCUUGGAGAUUCCACACACGAUCCUUGCCCUCAGGGAGUUUCUCUCUCCUAUCAGAGAGCACAGAUAUUAAAUAAAUACUCUCGUUUGUGAUGCAUGUUACAUGAGGGGAAGGGCAGGUUUUUAGGGGAUCCUCCUGCAGGGGAAUUUGAGUCUAGUCGAGGUCAGAGAGGUGAUCUUUGGGGAAGGGAUGUUUGGGUUGAGAUCUAAAAAAGAGUAGGAGUUUACCAGGAAGCAUCAAGCUGGGGAUGGGAGUCCGAGUGAAGAUCUGAGAAGGAAGAACGUUCCUGUCAGAAGUAGGAGCUUGUACAGAGCCCUGAGGGAAAGAGCGGGUGAGGUACUGUCAUAGAACAAGAACAAUGAAGUAGGUGAAGCCUCUCGGGGCUAACACCCACAGGGCACGUAGUGGUUUACCACUUACUCUAAGCAAGUCAGGUAGCAGGUGUACGUGCAGGAGAUCAGUUCCUGCCUCCCCUGCUGAGAGGAAGGGUCUCCAACAUGCCCCCCUGGGCCAUGCACUUCCCCUAGCCAGUCGGCUUUAGCGUCAACCACUUGGCAGGACAGAGGCAGAUAAUGUCUCAAAAAGCAGUGCUUUCUGCCAUAUUUCAGGUGAAGAACGGAGGCUCAGAGAGGAUAAUUUCCCAGAGGCCAUACUCUUGCGCUGACAGGCUCUCCAGUGCUGGUUUCUCAACACCUGAGAAAGGCAGAAGCAGAAUAUGGGUGGGGGGCAUAUGAGGGGUAUGUGGAUAACCUUCUGGAUCAAAGAAAUACGGACUCAUAAGGCUCUGCAGCUGUUGGAAAAGGAGCCCAGAUGGUGUUUCUAUCCACAGCACAUAUUAGAGUUCGAGUAAGUUGCCUUUUAUCUUAAACAUUGCUUUUCAUGAUCUGUCGGAGCUUUCUGGCUCAACAAAUUGUUUCACUCAGUGACGUGUUGGAAUUAUAAUAGAAAAUAAUCACCUCUGUGUGUAUCUAUUCUGACAAUCUUCUCUUUAUUCCUACAUUCAGAA